UCCAGUUCCCCUUUCUCUCUCUAAACUCAUCUCCAUUUUCUCCUUCUUGCUCUGUCUUCUCUCUACCCUUGCACUCAUUUGAACCGUUGAAAUUUCAAAUAGGUGGUGUUCUUUCGCUCACGGAGUUGAGAGCUUCCCUUCUAUCCGAUUAUAUUUCUAUUUGGACGGGUGAUUGUAGGGCACUGUUUGGGUUUUCUCUGUGAAGACACAUUUAGGGCACUCUAGUUGACUAUACUACUCAACCUCAAGAUGACGAGAAGGUUCCAUUGGAGAUGGCUUUGGAUGUUGAGGACAAUGCUACCGCCUAGUCUCUGGUGGUGUUAUUAGUUAUUCCUGAAAUUUGGGAUAUUGUUUUUCCUUCCAACUUAUAUUUAGAUUUUUUUGGAGUUUAAGUUUAAAUUCUGAAGCUAUUUUUAGGAUGACUGUAAUCCUAUUUACUCUUAACUGCUUUACUAUAUUACGCAUGA
rnacentral:sRNA from 1 species